rnacentral:lncRNA from 1 species
UGAUCAGACAGUGGGGUAUUUCCGAAGGUCUAUGGGUGGAGGGGAUGUGGAGCACAGUCGUAUCUGAAAGCUCAGAAUGCAAACUUUCGCAACUAGAACCAUCUGGAGUGAGAGGGGUGGUGAUACAGAGCUGGGACAGAUUUCUCUGGGUGUUUCCUCCCCUACAGCAUGUUUUUUAGAAGUGAAAUCAGGUUACGAAGAGCACUAAGGCAGCUUUGAAGGGGAAGUCCUGAGAGAACAGGCUGCAGCUUCGGGGUAUAACAUCACUAUUGUAAAACCUCAGAUUGGUGCUCAAGAUAGUUUUCAGACCCUGCACUUGAUGGAUCAGCUGGCACUACUCAGAUCAACACACUGGCUCACCUGGUCUUGUGGCCCCCACCCAGGAAAUGACUCAGCACAAGAGGACAGCUUUGACUCCCUGUGAUUUCAUCUCAGACCCAACCAGUCAGCUCUCCCUACUACUUGGCCCCCUACCCACCAAAUUAUCCUUAAAAAACCCCAGCCUCUAAAUUUUGGGGGUGACUGUUUUGAGUAAUAAUAAAACUCUGGUAUCCCAUUGAGCCAGCUCUGCAUGAAUUAGUUAACUGUUUCUCUCUUGCAGUUCCUCUGUCUUGAUAAAUCAGCCUGUCUGGGCAGUGGGCAAAAUGAACCCCCAACAGGAGGAUUUCAAAUGUAAAGAAGACACUUGGGCUGAGAUAUCCGGCUGAUCCGAACUCCAACAUGAAGCAUCCUUUCUGCUUUAGAUUGACCCCCAAAGAGUGAAGGACUAGGAAGCCAAAAGUGUCACACGGUCAAAAAUGCUUCCAUCUACUGGUGAAACUCAGGAAUACACUAACAUUUCCCUGCCUGAAAUGGUUAGUUGAGGACACAAAGCAACCCAAAGCGAGCGGAGCUUGGCCAUGGAGCUCAGAAAUUCAAAAUAGUCAGUUCUUGCUGAUGGUGAAG